GCUCGGCCGUUAUGGAGGUCCCGCCCCGGCUCUCGCAGGUGCCGCCGCCAUUGUUCCCCUCGCCUCCCUCCGCUCCGGCCCCCCGCAGCCUCUCCCAUUGGCGGCCCCGGGCUCCCCGGCCGCCGGCCCCGCUGCUGCCGUCGCUGAGUUCCGGCUCCGCCCGGCAGGGGGCGCGCCGAGCGCCGCGCCACGUCACCGCCCCCCAGCCCUCCCGAUUGGCGGGCGGGGCGUCUAUAAAGGGAGGGCGCAGGCGGCGCCCGGAUCUCUUCCGCCGCCAUUUUAAAUCCGGCUCCAUCCAACGCGCCGCCGCUGCGACUCCCUCUCCGCGCCGCCUGCCCCCGGCCGCCAGCCCCGCCGCCAUGGAGGACGUGAACGAGUACAGCAACAUGGAGGAGUUCGCCGAGGGCUCCAAGAUCAACGCGAGCAAGAACCAGCAGGACGACGGUAAGAUGUUUAUUGGGGGGCUGAGCUGGGACACGAGCAAGAAGGACCUGACCGAGUACCUGUCGCGCUUCGGGGAGGUGGUGGACUGCACCAUCAAGACGGACCCCGUGACGGGCAGGUCGCGCGGCUUCGGCUUCGUGCUCUUCAAGGACGCCGCCAGCGUGGACAAGGUCCUGGAGCUCAAAGAACACAAGCUGGACGGCAAGUUGAUAGACCCCAAGCGGGCCAAAGCCCUGAAGGGGAAGGAGCCCCCCAAAAAGGUGUUUGUCGGCGGCCUGAGCCCGGACACGUCCGAGGAGCAAAUCAAGGAGUAUUUCGGAGCCUUCGGAGAGAUCGAGAACAUCGAGCUUCCCAUGGACACCAAGACGAACGAGAGGAGAGGCUUUUGUUUUAUCACCUACACGGACGAGGAGCCGGUCAAGAAACUGCUAGAGAACAGAUACCACCAGAUCGGCUCCGGCAAGUGCGAGAUCAAAGUUGCCCAGCCCAAAGAGGUAUACAGGCAGCAGCAGCAGCAGCAGAAAGGAGGGAGGGGCGCUGCGGCUGGCGGACGAGGUGGGACUAGGGGGCGUGGCCGAGGUCAGGGCCAAAACUGGAACCAAGGAUUUAAUAACUAUUAUGAUCAAGGAUAUGGAAAUUACAAUAGUGCCUAUGGUGGUGAUCAAAACUAUAGUGGCUAUGGCGGAUAUGAUUAUACUGGGUAUAACUAUGGGAACUAUGGAUAUGGACAGGGAUAUGCAGACUACAGUGGUCAACAAAGCACGUAUGGCAAAGCAUCCCGAGGGGGUGGUAAUCACCAAAACAAUUACCAGCCAUAUUAAAGGAGGACACAGAGAAAACAGCGGGAACUUCAUUGCAGGCCGUGUGUCACCCUGACCACGUCUCUCUCUGGGGGUCGCACGUUGCGGGCAGAGCGCAAGGCACACACCAGAAAACGCUGUCCUGUGGUGCAGUUGUUACAACAGCCUAUCUUGCAGGAUGACGACAUUGAAUGGAGAGUGGUCUUCUAUUGAUCUGAGAUGACUAUUUUGUAAAAGACUUUUAGUGUACAUGACACAACUGUGUCCAAUUGUAUAUAGCGGCCGAUUUAGUUUUCUUGUUUUUGCUUUGUCCUUUGCCAUCUGUGUUAUGACAAAUGUGGAUUUGUGUUUAUACAAAUUUUAUUUGUAUAAUUUCAUGUUAAAUGAUUCUCAAAAAUAAAUUACUUGUGAUUGUUUUUCUGUGUCAGGUACUAAAUAGCUCUGUAAAAAUGUAAUUUUAAAUAAGCAAUAAUUGAGGCACAGUUUAUUUUCUAGGAGUCAUGGUCAGUGGGGAGAAACAGUGAUCCUUUAUAAAUAGUGAGCAGCAAACUGCCUUAGUUUCCUAAUUCCCUUGACAAGGUCUAUGCUAAGGAUUUGUGUCCAUGUUUAAAAUAACCAUAGCUGCUACCAUGCAGUUUUACAGUGUUUGUCCCCCCACAUGCAUUCUUGGGAUCUUUGUGAUGAGAAGUGUUAAUUCAGCAUGUUGUGAAUAGCUGAAAUUGUUUUUAUCAGGACAUAGAUCCCUUGACUUAUUUUCAAGAAGAGGAGCACCUUUUUAUUAUACACCAUUCAAAUAAGGCAUAGUUAGUAACUGCUUUUGAGUUGACAGGAUGCUUUGAGUCUAUUUGUUAAAAAAAAAAAAACAAAAAAACCCAUCUAUUAUGAUUAUUUGACACUUGCAUUGAAUGUGAGUGUAAUUCAAAUUGCAUAUUUCUAUAUCCAUUGGAACUGGAUCAAAGAUUAAUAUGGGCAAGAUUUUCACUAUAGAGUUGUAAGAAAAUCAGUUGUACUCUGAAAGUAGUGCAUUAUGUCACUGCCAAACUAUAGAUAGCUAUUUUCCUGUUGGAACACAGAUUUGGAAAGCUUUAGUAGAUUACGCCUUUUGUCAUGGAAGUUUUUAGGAAAAGUCAUAAUAGUCAAUCCCAUAAACUCAUGUAUUGUUUUGUAUUCUAAAUAAAGGUUAUUUUUCCAUUUUUAAAUGAUAUUCAUAGUGCAUGUGCUCUGAGUAGUGAAGCAUUUCCAUAUUCAGAUAAAGGGGGAGGAGGGAGGUAUGUUUUAACCAGAAACUUAAAGCCUUCUUUAUGUGACACAUUCUGUGUAAUUAUAGCAGGGCUUCCUAAUAGUAUACUGCAAUUGAAUCUGGCCUUCAUAGCUCUUGAGCAAAGAACCAAACUAGGCUCUGUAUUUAAAAACUGGUUCCAAUUCCCACAGAUUCCCCUGUAGUUAGUUUAUGGUCUUUGUUAGACCUGUAAUAUCAAGAUUGUUCUUUGAGCCUAAACUUUACUUCUAAUUUCAUGCAAUCAAGUUAAGCCUUAGUCUAAUAUCUGUUGGUUUUGUCCACACUGCCCCUUUCCCCGCUUCCGUCCUCUGGACUUGUCUUCCUUCUCGUUCUCCUAAGGGCUCUCAAGUUUACUUCACAUUCUCCUAGCUUUGAUUUUCCCCAUGUUGGUGUUGCUAAAUUGGCCUUCCUUACAAGCAGAGCGACAGAAUUGGAUUUCACCAGGAAUUGUUUCCCUGUUGACUCAGAAACAGGAAAUUGGAGGGAGAUGAUUUGGUUUUGUGUUGUCAAAAGGCAAUAGAUGCAGUGUGUUUAGGGGAGUGAUUCCUGUCAAGUUGACAUUGAAAUUGUCCUUUCCCUAACUACAAAUGAAUAAAAGUUUUUUAUCCUUUACUCUUCA